rnacentral:rRNA from 1 species
UACGAAGGGGGCUAGCGUUGCUCGGAAUUACUGGGCGUAAAGGGCUCGUAGGUGGCCAACUAAGUCAGACGUGAAAUCCCUCGGCUUAACCGGGGAACUGCGUCUGAUACUGGAUGGCUUGAGUUCGGGAGAGGGAUGCGGAAUUCCAGGUGUAGCGGUGAAAUGCGUAGAUAUCUGGAGGAACACCGGUGGCGAAGGCGGCAUCCUGGACCGAUACUGACACUGAGGAGCGAAAGCCAGGGGAGCAAACGGG